rnacentral:rRNA from 1 species
CCCUUCGGGGUGUGACUGCGUACCUUUUGUAUAAUGGGUCAGCGACUUAUAUUCUGUAGCAAGGUUAACCGAAUAGGGGAGCCGGAGGGAAACCGAGUCUUAACCGGGCGUUAAGUUGCAGGGUAUAGACCCGAAACCCGGUGAUCUAGCCAUGGGCAGGUUGAAGGUUGGGUAACACUAACUGGAGGACCGAACCGACUAAUGUUGAAAAAUUAGCGGAUGACCUGUGGCUGGGGGUGAAAGGCCAAUCAAACCGGGAGAUAGCUGGUUCUCCCCGAAAGCUAUUUAGGUAGCGCCUCGUGAAUUCAUCUCCGGGGGUAGAGCACUGUUUCGGCUAGGGGGCCAUCCCGGCUUACCAACCCGAUGCAAACUGCGAAUACCGGAGAAUGUUAUCACGGGAGACACACGGCGGGUGCUAACGUCCGUCGUGAAGAGGGAAACAACCCAGACCGCCAGCUAAGGUCCCAAAGUCAUGGUUAAGUGGGAAACGAUGUGGGAAGGCCCAGACAGCCAGGAUGUUGGCUUAGAAGCAGCCAUCAUUUAAAGAAAGCGUAAUAGCUCACUGGUCGAGUCGGCCUGCGCGGAAGAUGUAACGGGGCUAAACCAU